rnacentral:tRNA from 1 species
UGGAGGGUCUGCUAAUGGUAGGCAGCUGGUCUCUGGAACCAGUAAUGUAGGUUCGAAUCCUAUCCCUCCAG